UACGGAGGGAGCUAGCGUUAUUCGGAAUUACUGGGCGUAAAGCGCACGUAGGCGGCUUUGUAAGUUAGAGGUGAAAGCCUGGAGCUCAACUCCAGAAUUGCCUUUAAGACUGCAUCGCUUGAAUCCAGGAGAGGUGAGUGGAAUUCCGAGUGUAGAGGUGAAAUUCGUAGAUAUUCGGAAGAACACCAGUGGCGAAGGCGGCUCACUGGACUGGUAUUGACGCUGAGGUGCGAAAAGCGUGGGGGAGUAAACAGGG
rnacentral:rRNA from 1 species